rnacentral:lncRNA from 1 species
AUUAUUUAAAUGCAUUUUCUUACACCAUGAAAGACCAUAUUAAUAUGUCAUUUUGAGUAAUGCCCCACAAUUCAUUCAUCACAUAAAACCAAAGUCAAAUAGCCAUGUUCAUGACAUUGCAUUUCAUCAUAUUAUCACCAUUCCAAUUUGAAAAUAAACAAAAAUAAGUUUAAAUUCCAUUCAUAACCACAUUAUUACAUCACCUUUAUCAUCUCAUUUAUCAUAGUUUUACCAUCAUC